AACUGAGGAAAGGAAUCAACCGAGUGC
rnacentral:sRNA from 1 species